AGAGUUUGAUCAUGGCUCAGGAUGAACGCUGGCGGCGUAGCCUAAUACAUGCAAGUCGAGCGAACCACUUCGGUGGUGAGCGGCGAACGGGUGAGUAACACGUAGGUGAUCUGCCCAUCAGACGGGGACAACGAUUGGAAACGAUCGCUAAUACCGGAUAGGACGAAAGUUUAAAGGUGCUUCUGGCACCGCUGAUGGAUGAGCCUGCGGCGCAUUAGCUAGUUGGUAGGGUAAAGGCCUACCAAGGCGACGAUGCGUAGCCGACCUGAGAGGGUGAACGGCCACACUGGGACUGAGACACGGCCCAGACUCCUACGGGAGGCAGCAGUAGGGAAUCUUCGGCAAUGGGCGAAAGCCUGACCGAGCAACGCCGCGUGAAUGAUGAAGGCCUUCGGGUUGUAAAAUUCUGUUAUAAGGGAAGAACGACUUUAGUAGGAAAUGGCUAGAGUGUGACGGUACCUUAUAAGAAAGCCACGGCUAACUACGUG
rnacentral:rRNA from 1 species